rnacentral:rRNA from 1 species
AUUGAACGCUAGCGGGAUGCCUUACACAUGCAAGUCGAACGGAGUGGCCAACGGGCGAGUAAUGAAUCCGAACGUGACCAGUCGCGGGGGAUAACUACGCGACAGCGUAGCUAAUACCAUAUCCUAUUGGAGCGGCCGAUAUCGGAGUAGCUAGUUGGUGUGGUAACGGGUCACCAAGGCGUCGAUCCGUAGCUGGUUUGAGAGGACGACCAGCCAAACUGGGACUGAGACACGGCCCCGACUCCUACGGUAGGCAGCGAUGGGGAAUGUUGGACUAUGGAGGAAACGCUGAUCCAGCCAUCCCGCGUGGGCGAUGAAGGGCGUCGGGUUGUAAAGCACUUUUGGCAGGAAAGCGGUACCUGCAGAAUAAGCACCGGCUAACUACGUGCCAGCAGCCGCGGUAAUUC